UAGGUGUACUGGGUAUCCUGAGAUCCUGA
rnacentral:piRNA from 1 species